AAUGAAGAUUAAAUCUUCUUAGG
rnacentral:piRNA from 1 species